GACGAACCGUGCGAACGUUGUUCGGAAUCACUGGGCAUAAAGGGCGCGUAGGCGGCUUUUCAAGUCAGGGGUGAAAUCCGGCAGCUCAACUGUCGAAGUGCCCUUGAUACUGAUGAGCUCGAGGAGGUAGGGGUAUGUGGAACUUCCGGUGGAGCGGUGAAAUGCGUUGAUAUCGGAAGGAACGCCGGUGGCGAAAGCGAACGUACUGGACCUCUUCUGACGCUGAGGCGCGAAAGCUAGGGGAGCAAACGGG
rnacentral:rRNA from 1 species